AUGAACCUACGGGGCGCAGCAGUAGGGAAUUUUCGUCAAUGGGCGCAAGCCUGAACGAGCAAUGCCGCGUGAACGAGGAAGGUCUUCGGAUCGUAAAGUUCUGUUGAAGGGGAAAAAGAGCGGAGAGAGGAAAUGAACUCCGAUUGAUAUUAUACUUCGAGGAAGUCACGGCUAACUACGUGCCAGCAGCCGCGGUAAUACGUAGGUGGCGAGCGUUAUCCGGAAUGAUUGGGCGUAAAGGGUGCGUAGGCGGCCUGCUAAGUCUGGAGUGAACGGUACCGGCUCAACCGGUACAGG
rnacentral:rRNA from 1 species